rnacentral:rRNA from 1 species
CAGCCGCCGCGGUAAUACAGAGGGUGCAAGCGUUAAUCGGAAUUACUGGGCGUAAAGCGCGCGUAGGUGGUUUGUUAAGUCGAAUGUGAAAUCCCCGGGCUCAACCUGGGAACUGCAUCCGAAACUGGCAAGCUAGAGUAUGGUAGAGGGUGGUGGAAUUUCCUGUGUAGCGGUGAAAUGCGUAGAUAUAGGAAGGAACACCAGUGGCGAAGGCGACCACCUGGACUGAUACUGACACUGAGGUGCGAAAGCGUGGGGAGCAAACAGGAUUAGAUACCCCCGUAGUCCCUGUCUCUUAUAC